UACGAAGGGUGCAAGCGUUAUCCGGAUUUACUGGGUUUAAAGGGUGCGCAGGCGGAUAUGUAAGUCAGUGGUGAAAUCUCUAGGCUUAACCUGGAAAUUGCCGUUGAUACUAUAUAUCUUGAAUGCUGUGGAGGUAAGCGGAAUAUGUCAUGUAGCGGUGAAAUGCUUAGAUAUGACAUAGAACACCUAUUGCGAAGGCAGCUUACUACGCAGAUAUUGACGCUCAUGCACGAAAGCGUGGGGAUCAAACAGG
rnacentral:rRNA from 1 species